rfam:Ictidomys tridecemlineatus contig081780, whole genome shotgun sequence.
GGGGUUGUAGCUCAGUGGAAGAGUGCUUGCCUGGCAUGUAUGAGGGCCUGGGUUAUAUUCUCAGCACCUUUA